AGAUAUCAGGCAGCAAACAUGGAGGCGAGAAGCCAGCCUGGUCCUCAAUCAAUUAUGCGAGAGUAUUACCAAAUCAAUGAGUUUGCAGCGUGAGUGCUUGCGGCAGAUGGACGAACACUUGUCGGCUAUCUGGAGCCGCGGGAUCAGAUUUAUUUUCAGGGCUUAUUUGUCUCAUUUCUCCUGCCUGGUGCUGGAAGGCAGAGCAUGCAGCUGUGAUUUUUCAAACGUGAGAGAUCUCCGACUAUUUUAUAGCAUCAAUGGCAUUGGUAAGUUCUGCAGCACAAGGCUGAGAAGACAGUGUUCCGGAAGGGUCCUUGUGGUCCAGCCUCUGGGGUCGGCAGGGUCUGAGCUGAAAUCAGUGCUGUGCCUCAGAUCUCCACCUAUCGGAUUCCUCAUCUGAAAAACGGGACGGCAACAGCACUCCGCACCCAGGGGACCCCACAGAAUAGGACUGAACCCAGGGACAUAUGUAAACAGCUGGGAGCAGAGCCAAACACAUCAGGAGCCUUCGACAUGGCAGGAGGGAAUCAAAGGGCUAAAGACCAAAACCAAAUGACUCAGAAGAGAAACUCGAUAUCCUUGGGUGGCCUUGGAUUCUUCUGAUUUGUUUCUUUGGUGGCACGGUGUGGUUUUUGCUAAGGGGAAGCAGCCUGGGCAUUGGAGUCUGACCUGAGUCCCAUCAAGAUCACUGCUGAGCACCUGGACCAAACCCGCUUCCCAGAGCUUUGAGGGCAGGACUCUAGAGCCACGGUUCAGAUUCCACUUCUGGCUUGAGGAUUUAGCUAAAUUGGAAACCUAAGUAUUUUGACAGCACAGAAGAAUGGUACAUCUGGAGGUCUGGGGUCCAGCGAAGCUGGGAGCCAUCCUAAACAAAUGGAUUGACUGCUUCCGUACCAUCAUUAACUUCUGCUCCUGGACUGACAUCCGGAGUUUAACUCCUGACAGCUGGGGCACAGGCAAAAGGAAACCUUUUUAAUUUAUAGUGAGCAGAGACAAGUUCCUCCCCCUCUUCAACAUCCCCACCUUCCUGGCCCAUUUAAAGGGAUGGAGUCACUUGAAACAAUAAAAUCUUCUAUGGUUCCCUAUGUGAAACUUUUCUGGUAUGUUCUGAAGCCCUGGAGAGUGUGUGUCUGU
rnacentral:sRNA from 1 species